UACGUAGGCGGAAAAUUUAGUCAGUGGUGAAAUCCCGCAGCUUAACUGUGGAACUGUCAUUGAUACUGGUUUUCUUGAAUUUAGUUGAGGUAGGCGGAAUGUGUAAUGUAGCGGUGAAAUGCUUAGAUAUUACACAGAACACCGAUUGCGAAGGCAGCUUACUAAGCUAUGAUUGACGCUGAGGUACGAAAGCGUGGGGAGCGAACAGGAUUAGAUACCCGAGUAGUCC
rnacentral:rRNA from 1 species